rnacentral:rRNA from 1 species
UACGAAGGGUGCAAGCGUUACUCGGAAUUACUGGGCGUAAAGGGUGCGUAGGUGGUUGUUUAAGUCUGUUGUGAAAGCCCCGGGCUCAACCUGGGAAUGGCAAUGGAUACUGGACAGCUAGAGUGCGGUAGAGGGUAGUGGAAUUCCCGGUGUAGCAGUGAAAUGCGUAGAGAUCGGGAGGAACACCAGUGGCGAAGGCGGCUACCUGGACCAGCACUGGCACUAGACACGAAAGCGUGGGGAGCAAACAGG